AGUCUGGUGCCAGCAGCCGCGGUAAUUCCAGCUCCAAUAGCGUAUAUUAAAGUUGUUGUGGUUAAAAAGCUCGUAGUUGGAUCUCAGUUCGAGUCAGGCGGUCCACUUGCCAGUGGCUACUGCCUGACUGAACACUUUACCGAGUUGUCCUAUGGUGUUCUUCACCGAGCGUCAUAGGCGAUCGGUACGUUUACUUUGAAAAAAUUAGAGUGCUCAAAGCAGGCGUAACGCCCGAAUAAUGUUGCAUGGAAUAAUGGAAUAGGACCUCGGUUCUAUUUUGUUGGUCUUCGGAAUCAGAGGUAAUGAUCAAUAGGGACAGACGGGGACAUUCGUAUUGCGGCGCUAGAGGUGAAAUUCUUGGACCGUCGCAAGACGAACUAAAGCGAAAGCAUUUGUCAAGAAUGUUUUCAUUAAUCAAGAACGAAAGUUAGAGGUUCGAAGGUGAUCAGAUACCGCCCUAGUUCUAACCAUAAACGAUGCCAACCAGUAAUUCGUCUGAGUUCCUUAAAUGACUCGACGAGGGACUUCCGGGAAACCAAAGUCUUUCGGUUCCAGGGGAAGUAUGGUUGCAAAGCUGAAACUUAAAGAAAUUGACGGAAGGGCACCACCAGGAGUGGAGCCUGCGGCUUAAUUUGACUCAACACGGGAAAACUCACCCGGCCCGGACACUGGAAGGAUUGACAGAUUGAGAGCUCUUUCUUGAUUCAGUGGGUGGUGGUGCAUGGCCGUUCUUAGUUGGUGGAGUGAUUUGUCUGGUUAAUUCCGAUAACGAACGAGACUCUAGCCUACUAAAUAGAUCGUCGGCUUACAAACGCCGGCGAGACUUCUUAGAGGGACAGGCGGUGAUUCAACCGCACGAAACAGAGCAAUAACAGGUCUGUGAUGCCCUUAGAUGUCCGGGGCCGCACGCGCGCUACACUGAAGUGAUCAGCGUGCUUUUUCAACCUACUCUGUCAAGAGUGGGGAACCCAAUGAACCUUCUUCGUGAUUGGGAUAGGGGAUUGUAAUUAUUCCCCUUGAACGAGGAAUUCCCAGUAAGCGCGAGUCAUAAGCUCGCGUUGAUUACGUCCCUGCCCUUUGUACACACCGCCCGUCGCUACUACCGAUUGAAUGUUUUAGUGAGGUCUUCGGACUGGCCGGCGCAGCACUCUCGUAGUGCAGCGCUGUGUUUGGAAAGAUGCCCAAACUCGAACAUUUAGAGGAAGUAAAAGU
rnacentral:rRNA from 1 species